GCGCACUGUGGCUUAGUGGUUAGAACGUUCGCCUCACACCCCCAUGGCCGGGGAUUCGAUCCACUGUGGCCCUGUGUGUGCG